ensembl:lncRNA
CCGGCUCGUCUCGCUCAUCACGAUGAUGGACCAUUAAGCGGUUGUCUAUAAAGACAACCUCGACGACUACACACAGUCGAGAGAGAGCAAGGGGAUGUUGACUUAUUCCCCGGACCCCCUCCCUCCUGUAGUUUGUCUAAUGGAGGAAGAUGUACCCCCGAAUCCUUUUUGCAGUGCACCCCCCCACAAUGAACCUCCUCUCCCUUCCCUCACUUCCAACACUCCCAGCUGCGAGAAUGAUCGAAAACCCAACCGCCGUAGAGCUGGUUUGUGUAAACCACAGACGACCAGUAAACCCUGGUCUCAGAUCAGCCAGACCGCAGCCAGGCCGCCCACACCAGUCAAGACCCCCACCAAGACAGCGGGGGCGACCUGCACGG